rnacentral:rRNA from 1 species
CCUACGGGAGGCAGCAGUGAGGAAUAUUGGUCAAUGGACGAGAGUCUGAACCAGCCAAGUAGCGUGAAGGAUGACUGCCCUAUGGGUUGUAAACUUCUUUUAUAAAGGAAUAAAACGAGGCACGUGUGCCUUUUUUCAUGUACUUUAUGAAUAAGGAUCGGCUAACUCCGUGCCAGCAGCCGCGGUAAUACGGAGGAUCCGAGCGUUAUCAGGAUUUAUUGGGUUUAAAGGGAGCGUAGAUGGGUUGUUAAGUCAUUUGUGAAAGUUUGCGGCUCAACCGUAAAAUUGCAAUUGAUACUGGCAGUCUUGAGUACAGUUGAGGUAGGCGGAAUUCGUGGUGUAGCGGUGAAAUGCUUAGAUAUCACGAAGAACCCCGAUUGCGAAGGCAGCUUACUAAACUGUGACUGACAUUGAUGCUCGAAAGUGUGGGUAUCAAACAGGAUUAGAUACCCCAGUAGUC